GUCAGGAUGGCCGAGCGGUCCAAGGCGCUGCGUUCAGGUCGCAGUCCGGGCUUCCGGGCGUAGGUUUGAAUCCCACUUCUGACA
rnacentral:tRNA from 1 species